UAUGGUCAUAUCACAUUGAGACACCGGUUCACGUACGAUCAAUAAAGUUAAACAACGUUGAACUUAAUCAGUACCUAGAUGGGUAACCGCUUCGGAAUACCAGGUGCUGCAAU